GAAACUUAAAGGAAUUGACGGGGCCCGCACAAGCGGUGGAGCAUGUGGUUAAUUCGAAGCAACGCGAAGAACCUUACCAGGCCUUGACAUGCAGAGAACUUUCCAGAGAUGGAUUGGUGCCUUCGGGAACUCUGACACAGGUGCUGCAGUGGCUGUCGUCAGCUCGUGUCGUGAGAUGUUGGGUUAAGUCCCGUAACGAGCGCAACCCUUGUCCUUAGUUACCAGCACGUUAUGGUGGGCACUCUAAGGAGACUGCCGGUGACAAACCGGAGGAAGGUGGGGAUGACGUCAAGUCAUCAUGGCCCUUACGGCCUGGGCUACACACGUGCUACAAUGGUCGGUACAAAGGGUUGCCAAGCCGCGAGGUGGAGCUAAUCCCAUAAAACCGAUCGUAGUCCGGAUCGCAGUCUGCAACUCGACUGCGUGAAGUCGGAAUCGCUAGUAAUCGUGAAUCAGAAUGUCACGGUGAAUACGUUCCCGGGCCUU
rnacentral:rRNA from 1 species